rnacentral:rRNA from 1 species
GACGAACGCUGGCGGCGUGCCUAAUACAUGCAAGUAGGACGCAGUUGCGAACGGGUGAGUAACGCGUAGGUAACUGCCUAUUAGAGGGGGAUAACUAUUGGAAACGAUAGCUAAUACCGCAUACUAGUAGAUGGACCUGCGUUGUAUUAGCUAGUAGGUAGGGUAAUGGCCUACCUAGGCGACGAGACAUAACCGACCUGGGAGGGUGAGCGGCCAAACUGGGACUUAGACACGGGCCAGACUCCGACUGGAGGCAGCAGUAUGGGAUCUUCGGCAAUGGGGGGAACCCUGACCGAGCAACGCCGCGUGAGUGAAGAAGGUUUUCGGAUCGUAAAGCUCUGUUGUUAAGGAAGCGGUACUUAACCAGAAAGGGACGGCUAACUACGUGCCAGCAGCCGCGGUAAUAC